rnacentral:rRNA from 1 species
UACUUAGUGGCAGACGGGUGAGUAACAUGUAGGUAUCUUCCCUUUGGUGAGGAAUAACACGAGGAAGCUUGUGCUAAUACCUCAUAAGUCUUUACGGAGAAAGCUUUAUGCGCCAUUGGAUGAGCCUGCACUUGAUUAGUUUGUUGGUGGGGUAAUGGCCUACCAAGACAGUGAUCAAUAGCUGAUCUGAGAGGAUGAUCAGCCACAUUGGGACUGAGACACGGCCCAAACUCCUACGGGAGGCAGCAGUAGGGAAUAUUGCACAAUGGAGGAAACUCUGAUGCAGCGAUGCCGCGUGAGUGAAGAAGGCCUUUGGGUUGUAAAGCUCUUUCGUCGGGGAAGAAAAUGACUGUACCCGAAUAAGAAGGUCCGGCUAACUUCGUGCCAGCAGCCGCGGUAAUACGAAGGGACCUAGCGUAGUUCGGAAUUACUGGGCUUAAAGAGUUCGUAGGUUGUUAAAAAAGUUGGUGGUGAAAUCCCAGAGCCCAACUCUGGAACUGCCAUCAAAACUUUUUAGCUAGAGUAUGAUAGAGGAAAGCAGAAUUUCUAGUGUA